CUCCAGAUGUUGCUGAACUACAACUCCCAUGAUUCCAUGCAUGAAAUAGGCUGAGAAUCAUGGGAGUUGUAGUUUAGCAACAUCUAGAG